UUUCAGAUCUAAAAUACGUCCUUUCUCUUUCCAGUUUUAUCACCACCAUCAUCGUCUUCAUCGUCGCUACCACCACCACUACCACCUCCUCCUCCGUCGUUGCGAAUAGAUUCAGGAACACCUCCUUCGUCAUCACCUCAUAUACUUCCACCAAAUCCACCACCACCACUACCACGCGACAUCAUAAACAACCUGUUUAUAUCCAUGAAUCAACGAGAAACCUGUUUGAUUAUGAAACUGAGAUCGUUGAUCUUUAAGUUAUCUGGGUAACUUAUUUCAAGUUGAAGUUUCAAGAAGUAAUGAUGAUAAUAGCGGUGGCGCUGAUGGUGGUUGCGGCGGUAGGAGAGGUUUGGUUUGUUGAUUCGUCUACAAAGUGAAAGUUAUAUCAAUUUCUAAAUUAUUGAUGAAGAUCAAAGGGGAUUGCAGUGAUUAUCUUCUUCCUCUUGUUUAAGUUUCUGGUGGUGGUGAAGUUAGAAUGAUGAAAUUGACGAUAAAAAUCAUGGUGGUUCUGGUUGUUAUUGUGGUGAUGAUGGCGGUUGUGGAGAUUUGUUGUGAUUGUGGUGGUUUGGAGAUGUUUGUAGUGGUGAUACUUACGGUUACUAUCACUUCCUUCACCAAUGCCACUGCAAAAAAUAUCAAUGCAAGGUGAUAGUUUGCAACAUUGGUGUUGCUGCUAGUUGUUUGUUGUGGAAGGGUGGUUGUGCUGGUGGAGUUUUUGUGGUAAGUACUAGCUCUUCAUAACAGGCUUAAUAUUUGAUCUACUAACAAUGGAAAAUUUACAUUAGAUUGAUGUUUUGUGCCAACUUUGGUACUAAUGGUAUUUACUAAUAAUCGAUAUUUUGUAUUAUGAUCAUCUGGUGAUAUAGCUAUAUAUUGAUUUAGAUCUGUUUGAUAGCCAGUUGCAGCUAUACAUCAUCUCUGCCUAAUAAGAUGCAUGUAGUGGAUGCUGAAAAGUUACUAGAAAAUGCAUGUAUAUAUAUGAUUUUUGACUUUCUCUUGAUGACUCAAGAUGAGAUGUUCCUACACAUAUCUCAGCAAUUACGAGGAACGCUUUCCCCGCAAAGACAAUAUCUUGAGUUCUGCAACUUCUGCUUGAUAUAAGGUGGUAUCAUUUUUGUGCUUUUGUCUCUUGUAUCCAUCUGUCGCUUAUGUAUAAAAUGCUUUCUUUGCUCACUAGUGCACAAGUAAACGGGUUUCCGAACAUUACAUUUUCAUAUACUUUUCUUGGUGAUAUCUACUACUAGUGACAGCCUAUAGAAAUGUAUAUUUAGGAUCUAGAAGUGGUUUAUUUGCUCACAAUAUUUCAGUCCUUGCUUAUAAUUUUUAUAUUUUUGUGUACAGACAUUACUUGUUACAAUUUUAUUUGGUAUAGAAGUAGUGAAUUUUGAUAAAAUUCUAGUAUAUUAUUGAACUCUGGAUGACACUGUCUCUCAUCCUUUCUAUAUGAUGGCCCGAGUUAUCUGUUGUUUUUUUCCGCAACGCUAAAGAUGAUUAAGCCUGCAUUUUCUUGUUGGAACCUGACUUUAUACUUCUGUUUUUGUACUCAGUUCCUAGUAUCAGGCAUUCCAGCAAAUGCUCGAAUUGGAAUCCAACUGUUGCACUUCACAUCGUGGUAGGUACGCUCUAGUUCCACCAAUAUAGAAAUCUCCAUGCCUAGGUCGGUGGUUAGAUGCUCGCAGCUUAAACCUUAUUAGAGAUUUCGUCUCACAUCUAUACUUUUGAUUUCUCUACACAGUCACACAGUUUUACUAGGAAGACAUGUAAAUGACUUAUGUAUGCUGAAUUUGUGGUGCAACGGUAGCACAACUAACUCCACAUCAGAAGAUGCGUGUUCGAUUAACGUCAGGUUCACUAAUUUUAGUACAUCAAUUUUUGGGAUCAACUUUGGUUGACACUAGAUUUGGGGUCAACUUUGGUUGUUGAUACCAUAUUUUGGGAUCAACUUAAAUUAUUGAUACCAUAAAUAAUAUGAACAUUUUCUGAAUUGUUUAUUUUAGGGAUCAACUUUUGUUGUCGAGAUCAUAUUAUGUAUUUAUUUUUUUUAAUAAUUUUUACGGGGAUCAAUUUCAGUUGUUGACACCAUAUUUUGGGGAUCAACUUCAGUUGUUGACACCCUAUUUUUUUGUUUGUUUUUUUGUUUUUGGGAUCAACUUCGGUUGUUGACACCAUAUUAUUAUUAUUUUUGUUUUCUGAUUUUUGUGUUUGGGAUCAACUUCCAUUAUUGACACCAUAUUUGUUGUUAUUCUAUUAUUUUAUUUUUUUUGAUUUUUAUUUUGGGAUCAACUUCGAUUGUUGAUCCAUAUUUUGGGGAUCAAUUUCAGUUGUUGAUGCUAUUUUUUUCUUCUUAUUUUCUUAUUUUUGU